GACGAACGCUGGCGGCGUGCUUAAUACAUGCAAGUCAACUUGACUUUAGAUAGCAAUAUCGAAAAGUAGGGUGGCGCACGGGUGCGUAACGCGUAGGUAAUCUGCCCUGAGGUCUGACAUAACCCGUCGAAAGGCGGGCUAACAUCAGAUGAUAUAUAAUCACGACAUCGUGGAAAUAUCAAAUCUUCGGAGCCUUGGGAUGAGCCUGCGUCUGAUUAGGUAGUUGGCGGAGUAAUAGCCCACCAAGCCUACGAUCAGUAGCUGGCCUGAGAGGAUGAUCAGCCACACUGGAACUGAGACACGGUCCAGACUCCUACGGGAGGCAGCAGUAAGGAAUAUUGCUCAAUGGGGAACCCUGAAGCAGCAACG
rnacentral:rRNA from 1 species